rnacentral:rRNA from 1 species
UGGGCCUAAACAUUCGUAGCCGGUUCGGUGUGUUCUUUGUGAAAUCAGCAGGCUUAACUUGCUGAAUUGCAGAGAUUACUACCUUGCUAGAGGUUGGGAGACGUAAGUGGUAUUUCAUGGGUAGCGGUGAAAUGUGAUAAUCCAUGAAGGACCACCAGUAGCGAAGGCGACUUACGAGAACAAACCUGACGGUGAGGAAUGAAAGCUGGGGGAGCGACCCGGAUUAGAUACCCGGUUAGUCCCAGCCGUAAACGCUGCAGACUAGGUGUCCCGUUACUCACGGAGUCUCGGGGUGCCGUAGGGAAGCCGUUAAGUCUGCUGCCUGAGGAGUAUGGUCGCAAGGCUGAAACUUAAAGGAAUUGGCGGGGGAGCACA